AGAGAUUCCUGUACCAGUGCUAAUUGUUUAACCGAUGGGGUGCCAAAGAAGGAUAGGGAAUCGCACGAAUGGAAAUGUGCGUGCAAGCAGUGAGUGUGAGAAGUAGGCAAAUCCGCCUCUCGUGAAGCAUGAGCUGUGAUGGGGAAGGAAAUUAAGUACGGAAGUUCCUGAUUUCACGCUGUCAAGAAAAGCCUCCAGGAAGAGUAGUACUGCCCGCACCGCAAACCGACACAGGCAGAUGAGGAGAGAAUCCUAACGCGAGCGAGAGAACUCCCGUUAAGGAACUCGGCAAAAUGACCCCGUCACUUCGGGAGAAGGGGUGCUC
rnacentral:rRNA from 1 species